AACGAACGCUGGCGGCGUGCUUAACACAUGCAAGUCGAACGCGAAAGGGACUUCGGUCCUGAGUAAAGUGGCGCACGGGUGAGUAACGCGUGGAUAAUCUGCCCAAUGGUCCGGGAUAACAUUUCGAAAGGGGUGCUAAUACCGGAUAAGACCACGAGAUCUUAGGAUUUUGCGGUAAAAGGUGGGGACCUUCGGGCCUACCGCAAUUGGAUGAGUCCGCGUACCAUUAGCUAGUUGGUAGGGUAACGGCCUACCAAGGCGACGAUGGGUAGCUGGUCUGAGAGGACGAUCAGCCACACUGGAACUGGUGCACGGUCCAGACUCCUACGGGUGGCAG
rnacentral:rRNA from 1 species